UUUGUGAAAUUUUUCGUAAACAUUUUUUGCUUGUUGAGAUUAAAAACUCACAAGGGAGUCACAGUGAUUAUAACUGAGUUGAUAUGGAUAUAGAUUGUUAUACACAGGGUUUGAACUCUGGAUACCUCUUUUGUUCAUCUUGUAAAAUGUGAAUUUUAGCUAUUACCAAAACCCUCGUUUUGCUUUUAACUCUCAUUCGUAGCUCAAGCACUCCAAUUCUCACUGAAGUGAACUCAAAUCCGACCAACACACACUGCCUGCUUUUGAGUUUUUCUUUCCCCUCUCAAAGGAGGAUAUGAGUCAGAAUUUGAAAAGUCCUAAUCCGGACGAUAAAGAAACAAGGUUAGAAAGGCGAUGGAAGAGACGGGAAGCGAUGAAUGAUAGUUUGAAGCACAAUCAUGUUGCUAGUGCCACAAAGACACCUGCGGAGAUUUGUGAAAAUACCACAAUUUUAAUAGACGAAAGUGAUCAUACGAUAGAUGAUGAUACAAAUGAAGAUUGUGAAAUACUUUUGGGUGAAUGUACCGGUGUCAACGAUGAAGUGGAGGCAGAUUACAAAUCCUUGUUGGCUAAAUAUAGUCCUGUUAUUGAAACUGAUAGUGCUAGUAAUCAUAUUGAUGGUUCAGACAUUGUUGAAGUCGAGGCAGAUUACGGAUCCUUGUUGGCUAAAUAUAAUCCUAUUAUUGACAGACAGUUCUGGUAAUCAUAUUGAUGGUUCAAACACUGAUGAAGUAGAGGCAGAUUACGGAUCCUUGUUGGCUAAAUAUAAUCUUAUUAUUGACACUGACAGUGCUAGUAAUCAUAUUGAUGGUUCGAAAAUUGAUGAAGUGGAUGCAGAUGCAGAUUACAGAUCCUUUUUGCGAAAGGAGUAGAUGUUGUCAAUUGACUGAAGCUUUGGUGAAAGGAGUUUAAAGUAAAUACUCAAGGGGUUUGAUUGUUGAGCAUGUUACAUUUAUGAUUUUAGGUUUCUGGUGUGAAGAAUAAAAAUCAACAAUCUUGUUUUACCUUAUUAUUUGCUUUGCUUAUGUAUUAGAGAAUCCAUGUAUUUUGUAUUAUGGGACCAAAAGAUCAAUGAAAAUUUUGUAUGAUAUCAACAAA